ACUCCUACGGGAGGCAGCAGUAGGGAAUAUUGGUCAAUGGGUGAGAGCCUGAACCAGCCAUGCCGCGUGCAGGAAGACGGUCUUCUGGGUUGUAAACUGCUUUUACCAGGGGAUAAAAUGGUCUUGCGAGACUAAUUGCAGGUACCUGGUGAAUAAGCCACGGCUAACUACGUGCCAGCAGCCGCGGUAAU
rnacentral:rRNA from 1 species